UAGCAGCAACUACUCUCUGACAGAUGUGA
rnacentral:piRNA from 1 species